CAUUAGAUGACUGAAUGUAAGUGAUGGUCUCUUAAACCAAUUAAUAGUAAAUAACAAAUACUUCUAAUGG
rnacentral:tRNA from 1 species